rnacentral:rRNA from 1 species
CGUAGGGUGCGAGCGUUAAUCGGAAUUACUGGGCGUAAAGCGUGCGCAGGCGGUUUUGUAAGACAGGCGUGAAAUCCCCGAGCUCAACUUGGGUAAUGGCGCUUGUGACUGCAAGGCUAGAGUAUGUCAGAGGGGGUAGGAAUUCCACGUGUAGCAGUGAAAUAGCGUAGAGAUGUGGAGGAAUACCGAUGGCGAAGGCAGCCCCCUGGGACGUCACUGACGCUCAUGCACGAAAGACGUGGGAGGCAAACAGGAUU